UGGCGAUUGCGUGGUGCCAAGCGCUGGUGCUUACUCUACCCUGUGAGUUUGCGAGAGUGUCGUGGGGGCCGACGCUGCAGUUUGAACCUGUGAGUCGCUGCGCUGCUUCAUCGCGAAGAUACGAAAGCGAGAAAGCGCGCGUUGAGGAGGUCUGCGCAGUUUCGUGUUUUUUUCUCUUUCUCUCACUCUAGGUCAUCUGACAAGAAAAGGGUCUAACAUAAGCGACUUUAGACUCCGAUGGUGCUGGCUGGUGAAUCUCGCACAGCCUCGGCGGCUGCGCAGAAGCCAGCUGCGGCUUCAACACUUUCUCCGUACCCGCCGCAUCCGGCUGGGGGCGUCGGCGCAAGCGCCAUGACAAAGAGCGCCACGCAGGCUUCCUCCACAGCUUCUCCGGCGGCGGCUAACGCGGCUUCAGCAAAGGAGGCGUCCAGCACGAUUGGUGAUCUUGCCGCCACGACGGCGCCGGUGGAGUGCUUGCUGCAGAUCGGCCAGCCGAGCUUCUCCACGCAGCUCGACUUCAUUAAGGUAAACCGCGCGGUGGCCUCUCUGGAGCGCGCGGUGGAGCGACUAGAGCUGCUCAGCCUUCUAGAUGCCGCCGGCCCCACCCCAGGUAUGGAGGGAAGCCACCAAAAUGCGAAUGGCACGAGAACUGCUUCGAGUGCGAUAGCUGUUGCUGCGGCGUCGACAGCUAGCUUUUAUCCGCACAACUCAUCGCGUGGACCCGCCGUGCUGGCGGGCGUCGCCCACGACGCGAGCGUCGCCACCGCGCAGAAGGUGGCGGAGGUGCUGGCAGUCACUCAGCAGCAGCGUGGCUGCGGACGCGCGUCGGUGCUCGAGUUGCUCGCGGAGCUGCGGGUGUUGGAGCGCCGCUACGGGGAGCUGUUAACCCAGGAUCAGCCAACCGUGCUCCUCCACCCUGGGGAACCGCAGCUGCAUCCCAAGUGCUUCGCACACGUUCGCGACCCCUCGAAGGCGGCUUUGCAACAGGAGCUAGCCUUGGUGUCUAACCGACUUCGAGAUACGAAUCGUCUCCUCUGUACACAGCUACAGGACAACCCUCAAGACGCGGACAACUGGGCCAAGGUGUGCAAUGGACGACGGGAGCUGACGGCGUUACUGAAAGAGGCGAUCAAAGAGCUGACCGUGGGAUACAAGGAAGCCCUGCAGACCCAGCAGCUCCGACAGCAGCAGCACCAGGCAAACGCUGUCCUCGACGGUGGUCUUCGGCAAAGCAUCGCCCAGACCGGCGUCGGCGAGGACGCUCACUUCGGUCAUGUGGCAUUCAACGGCGCUGGUGCCUUCGGGCUCGCCCGGAGCGACAGUAGGCCAUCUUCCACGGCCGGCGGUGGUGCCGUCUCCACCGAGAGCGGGUCGCGGGCCUCCGUCUUUCUCAAAUGCUUUGGCAGCAAUUUGCAGCGACCUCGCGUGUCGCGAGUGGUACAGCAGGGGCCGCGCAUCCCGCUCUCUUCGUCUUACCAGCAGUUCGCCGUGAAGAUUCUGCAGGAAGAGGCGUCGCAGCGCUGGGCGGAUGAUGUGCUGGCCAAGGAGCGCGCGCUAAAUCAAAACGUGAAGCAGCUGCAGGUGGACCUUGUGCGUGAGCGUGAGCUGAAGGACAAGGAGGUUGCGGAACGCCUCGCCCGCAUCUCGGCAUUGAAGGUAGAGCUGCGCAAGCUAAAAACUGCCUUGCAGCAGCGCAGUGAGGCAGCCAAGGCCUGCGGUGAAGCGGCCACUGAAAACCUUCAGCGUGAGGGCGCCGCUGAGGUGCGGGACGUGAGAAAAGCGAUACAGCAGGAUGAGCAGCUGCUCUCCAUCGGCGCCACGACGCACGAAGUGUUUAGCGCGUACCUACACGAACGCACUACCGCAAUGGACUCGUUGGCUGGCGAGUGGGAAGCCAAGACGCUCCAUGAGCUCAAGAAGAAGGAGGCAGCAAAAAUCGACGCGGAGGGGAGUCGCCAGGCGUGUGCGCAGCGUCUCACAGACCUCGAGCACGAGCGAGACGCUCAGCAGGAACUCAAGGGGCAGCGCGACUCUGCGCAAAAGGCAGAGGAGGACGCACGGAGGCGAGCUGAAGAGCAGCGGGACGCCGAGUACGCGGCAGCGUCGGUGCUGGAGGCCGCGCUUAAGGCCAUGAUGACGCGACAAACCAUCAGCAAGCUACAGAAGAGCUCCAAAAAGAAAAAGAAGAAGGCGGCAAGCUAAUCUGGAAUACGAGACUGCCCAUGCUAUCCACACGCGUCAUCCCUGUGCGCUUGUUUUCUUCUGUGAGUCUGCGUGUGCUGUGUAGAGCGUGUAUGCCACAGCUGCAGUAGCAGCGACAGCAUCCGCAGCAAGUGCCACUGAGCCACGGACACGUGACGAGCACAUCCAUGUAAAUAAGGUGGUUCUCUUGUUUUUCUUUUGCUUUCCUCUUGCAACGUAUGUACAUGCACCCCUCUGUCCUCUCCAUCGCUGUUUUUGUGUGUGUAUGUGUUGUUGCGGCCAUUGUGCUGGUGCUGCGCGCACCUACGACUGGUUAUCGGGGGGAUGGAGGGAGGGAGAGAGGUUUGCGGCAGAUACGUGUGUCUGUCCACCUUGGCCCUGCGUAGGUGCGUGUGUGUGUGUGUGUGUGUGUGUGUCUUGGCGUAUUGUCUGUGUCUGUUGACGAAUAUGCAGGCACAUAUGCACACAAGACGCCUCCCACAUACCAGCAGUACACACAGAGCGAGAGGUGGAUUGCUCUGCCCUUUUUUUUUUCGCGUGCGUCGUCGUCGUGCGCAGGCUAACGGGCACUGCAGCAAAGCGCGUGAGGCACGUAUAUCGGGCGCUUCCUCUUCGUCCCGCACUGAAGGCUGUACCGGAGGCGAGGGUGAGCAC
rnacentral:misc_RNA from 1 species